GCGGUCGUGGCGGAACUGGUAGACGCGCAACGUUGAGGUCGUUGUUCCUAACAGAGUGGAAGUUCGAGUCUUCUCGACCGCACCA
rnacentral:tRNA from 1 species